GGGUUGUGAGGUUAAGCGACUAAGCGUACACGGUGGAUGCCCUGGCAGUCAGAGGCGAUGAAGGACGUGCUAAUCUGCGAAAAGCGUCGGUAAGGUGAUAUGAACCGUUAUAACCGGCGAUGUCCGAAUGGGGAAACCCAGUGCAAUUCGUUGCACUAUCGUUAACUGAAUACAUAGGUUAACGAGGCGAACCGGGGGAACUGAAACAUCUAAGUACCCCGAGGAAAAGAAAUCAACCGAGAUUCCCCCAGUAGCGGCGAGCGAACGGGGAGCAGCCCAGAGUCUGAAUCAGCUUGUGUGUUAGUGGAACGGUCUGGAAAGUCCGACGGUACAGGGUGAUAGUCCCGUACACCAAAAUGCACAGGUUGUGAACUCGAAGAGUAGGGCGGGACACGUGGUAUCCUGUCUGAAUAUGGGGGGACCAUCCUCCAAGGCUAAAUACUCCUGACUGACCGAUAGUGAACCAGUACCGUGAGGGAAAGGCGAAAAGAACCCCGGCGAGGGGAGUGAAAAAGAACCUGAAACCGUGUACGUACAAGCAGUGGGAGCACCUUCGGGUGUGACUGCGUACCUUUUGUAUAAUGGGUCAGCGACUUAUAUUCUGUAGCAAGGUUAACCGUAUAGGGGAGCCGCAGGGAAACCGAGUCUUAACUGGGCGUUAAGUUGCAGGGUAUAGACCCGAAACCCGGUGAUCUAGCCAUGGGCAGGUUGAAGGUUGGGUAACACUAACUGGAGGACCGAACCGACUAAUGUUGAAAAAUUAGCGGAUGACUUGUGGCUGGGGGUGAAAGGCCAAUCAAACCGGGAGAUAGCUGGUUCUCCCCGAAAGCUAUUUAGGUAGCGCCUCGUGAACUCAUCUUCGGGGGUAGAGCACUGUUUCGGCUAGGGGGUCAUCCCGACUUACCAACCCGAUGCAAACUACGAAUACCGAAGAAUGUUAUCACGGGAGACACACGGCGGGUGCUAACGUCCGUCGUGAAGAGGGAAACAACCCAGACCGCCAGCUAAGGUCCCAAAGUCAUGGUUAAGUGGGAAACGAUGUGGGAAGGCACAGACAGCCAGGAUGUUGGCUUAGAAGCAGCCAUCAUUUAAAGAAAGCGUAAUAGCUCACUGGUCGAGUCGGCCUGCGCGGAAGAUGUAACGGGGCUAAACCAUGCACCGAAGCUGCGGCAGCGACACUAUGUGUUGUUGGGUAGGGGAGCGUUCUGUAAGCCUGCGAAGGUGUGCUGUGAGGCAUGCUGGAGGUAUCAGAAGUGCGAAUGCUGACAUAAGUAACGAUAAAGCGGGUGAAAAGCCCGCUCGCCGGAAGACCAAGGGUUCCUGUCCAACGUUAAUCGGGGCAGGGUGAGUCGACCCCUAAGGCGAGGCCGAAAGGCGUAGUCGAUGGGAAACAGGUUAAUAUUCCUGUACUUGGUGUUACUGCGAAGGGGGGACGGAGAAGGCUAUGUUAGCCGGGCGACGGUUGUCCCGGUUUAAGCAUGUAGGCUGGUUGUCCAGGCAAAUCCGGAUAAUCAAGGCUGAGGUGUGAUGACGAGGCACUACGGUGCUGAAGUAACAAAUGCCCUGCUUCCAGGAAAAGCCUCUAAGCAUCAGGUAACAUCAAAUCGUACCCCAAACCGACACAGGUGGUCAGGUAGAGAAUACCAAGGCGCUUGAGAGAACUCGGGUGAAGGAACUAGGCAAAAUGGUGCCGUAACUUCGGGAGAAGGCACGCUGGUGUGUAGGUGAAGUCCCUGCGGAUGGAGCUGAGACCAGUCGAAGAUACCAGCUGGCUGCAACUGUUUAUUAAAAACACAGCACUGUGCAAACACGAAAGUGGACGUAUACGGUGUGACGCCUGCCCGGUGCCGGAAGGUUAAUUGAUGGGGUUAUCCGUAAGGAGAAGCUCUUGAUCGAAGCCCCGGUAAACGGCGGCCGUAACUAUAACGGUCCUAAGGUAGCGAAAUUCCUUGUCGGGUAAGUUCCGACCUGCACGAAUGGCGUAAUGAUGGCCAGGCUGUCUCCACCCGAGACUCAGUGAAAUUGAACUCGCUGUGAAGAUGCAGUGUACCCGCGGCAAGACGGAAAGACCCCGUGAACCUUUACUAUAGCUUGACACUGAACAUUGAGCCUUGAUGUGUAGGAUAGGUGGGAGGCUUUGAAGCGUGGACGCCAGUCUGCGUGGAGCCAACCUUGAAAUACCACCCUUUAAUGUUUGAUGUUCUAACGUUGGCCCCUUACCGGGGUUGCGGACAGUGUCUGGUGGGUAGUUUGACUGGGGCGGUCUCCUCCCAAAGCGUAACGGAGGAGCACGAAGGUUAGCUAAUCCUGGUCGGACAUCAGGAGGUUAGUGCAAUGGCAUAAGCUAGCUUGACUGCGAGCGUGACGGCGCGAGCAGGUGCGAAAGCAGGUCAUAGUGAUCCGGUGGUUCUGAAUGGAAGGGCCAUCGCUCAACGGAUAAAAGGUACUCCGGGGAUAACAGGCUGAUACCGCCCAAGAGUUCAUAUCGACGGCGGUGUUUGGCACCUCGAUGUCGGCUCAUCACAUCCUGGGGCUGAAGUAGGUCCCAAGGGUAUGGCUGUUCGCCAUUUAAAGUGGUACGCGAGCUGGGUUUAGAACGUCGUGAGACAGUUCGGUCCCUAUCUGCCGUGGGCGCUGGAGAAUUGAGGGGGGCUGCUCCUAGUACGAGAGGACCGGAGUGGACGCAUCACUGGUGUUCGGGUUGUCAUGCCAAUGGCACUGCCCGGUAGCUAAAUGCGGAAGAGAUAAGUGCUGAAAGCAUCUAAGCACGAAACUUGCCCCGAGAUGAGUUCUCCCUGAGACUUUAAGUCUCCUGAAGGAACGUU
rnacentral:rRNA from 1 species